GCGGCCGUUGCCUUUAACUCUCAACCCUCAACCCUCAACUCUCAACUGAAUGAGGAUCAUUCUAGCGGCGAACGGUCGCGUAACACGUAAGCAACCUGCCGAGAAGACCGGGACAACAUUCCGAAAGGAGUGCUAAUACCGGAUGUGGCCGCUUUGGGACAUCCCAGAGCGAUUAAAUCGAGCAAUCGGCUUCUUGAGGGGCUUGCGGCCUAUCAGCUAGUUGGUGGGGUAACGGCCUACCAAGGCGACGACGGGUAGCUGGUCUGAGAGGACGGCCAGCCGGACUGGGACUGAGAUACGGCCCAGACUCCUACGGGGGGCAGCAAUUAGGAAUCUUGCACAAUGGGGGCAACCCUGAUGCAGCGACGCCGCGUGGAGGAGGAAGUCCUUCGGGAUGUAAACUCCUUUUUCCAGGGAAGAAACAAAUGACGGUACCUGGUGAAUAAGCUCCGGCUAACUACGUGCCAGCAGCCGCGGUAAUACGUAGGGAGCGAGCGUUGUCCGAAGUUACUGGGCGUAAAGCGCGCGUAGGCGGGUUGUUAAGUGAGAGGUGAAAGGCUGGGGCUCAACCUCAUGCAGUGCCUCUCAUACUGGCAAUCUUGAGUGAGGUAGGGAGAAGUGGAAUGGCUGGUGUAGCGGUGAAAUGCGUAGAUAUCAGGAGGAACACCGGUGGUGUAGACGGCUUUCUGGACCGUAACCGACGCUGAAACACGAAAGCGUGGGUAGCAAACAGGAUUAGAUACCCUGGUAGUCCACGCCCUAAACGAUGCAUAUUUGGUGUGGGCAGUUCAUUCUGUCCGUGCCGGAGCUAACGCGUUAAAUAUGCCGCCUGGGGAGUACAGUCGCAAGGCUGAAACUCAAAGGAAUUGACGGGGGCCCGCACAAGCGGUGGAGCAUGUGGUUCAAUUCGACGCAACGCGAAGAACCUUACCUGGGCUCGAACGGCUGGUCAACGGCGGUGGAAACACUGUUACCCCGCAAGGGGGUCCAGUCGAGGUGCUGCAUGGCUGUCGUCAGCUCAGUGUCGUGAGAUGUCGGGUUAAGUCCCGUAACGAGCGAAACCUUGUACCUGUAGUUACCAUGCGGUUAAGGCGGGAACUCGAAGGAGACCGCCAGGUGUCAAAGCCGGAGGAAGGUGGAGAUGACGUCAAGUCCUCAUGGCCUUUAUGUCCAGGGCCUACACACGUGCUACAAUGGGCGGUACAUAAGCGUCGAACCCGCGAGGCGCGAGCUCAUGAAUCGCAAAAAUAACGUCCUCAGUUCAGGAUGCGAGGCUGCAACUCGCCUGCCUGAAGUUGGAAUCGCUAGUAAUCGCGGAUCAGCCACGCCGCGGUGAAUGUGUUCCUGAGCCUUGUACACACCGCCCGUCAAGUCAUGGGAGCCGGGAAUGGCCGAAGUCGUCUCGCUUCAGAGAUGCCUACGCCAGGCUCGGUGACUGGGACUAAGUCGUAAC
rnacentral:rRNA from 1 species